rnacentral:tRNA from 1 species
CAAAAUGUAGCUUAACCCCCAAAGCCCUUCGCUUACACCGAAGCCAUGUUUGAGAAAUCCAGACCAUUUUGA